UACAGAGGUCCCAAGUGUUGUUCGGAUUCACUGGGCGUAAAGGGUGCGUAGGUGGUAGGGUAAGUUUGAUGUGAAAUCUCCGGGCUUAACCCGGAAACUGCAUUGAAUACUAUCUUACUCGAGGUUUGGAGGGGGGACUGGAAUUCUCGGUGUAGCAGUGAAAUGCGUAGAUAUCGAGAGGAACACCAGUGGCGAAGGCGGUGGUCUGGGCCGGAACUGACGCUGUAGAGCGAAAGCGUGGGGAGCGAACAGG
rnacentral:rRNA from 1 species